GAGCUCUUUUCACAUUGUGCUACUGUCUGCACCCGUCACGAGCAGUGCAAUGUCAAAAGGGCAUC
rnacentral:miRNA from 1 species